AGGUUACUGCUAUCGGUGUUCGCCUAAGCCAUGCGAGUCAUAUGUUCGUAAGAACAUGGCGUACUGCUCAGUAACACGUGGAUAACCUGCCCUUGGGUCCGGCAUAACCCCGGGAAACUGGGAUAAUUCCGGAUAACGCAUAUAUGCUGGAAUGCUUUCUGCGUAAAAUGGAUUCGUCUGCCCAAGGAUGGGUCUGCGGCCUAUCAGGUAGUAGUGGGUGUAAUGUACCUACUAGCCUACGACGGGUACGGGUUGUGAGAGCAAGAGCCCGGAGAUGGAUUCUGAGACAUGAAUCCAGGCCCUACGGGGCGCAGCAGGCGCGAAAACUUUACAAUGCGGGAAACCGUGAUAAGGGGACACCGAGUGCCAGCAUCCUAUGCUGGCUGUCCGGGUGUGUAAAAUACACCUGUUAGCAAGGGCCGGGCAAGACCGGUGCCAGCCGCCGCGGUAACACCGGCGGCCCGAGUGGUGAUCGUGAUUAUUGGGUCUAAAGGGUCCGUAGCCGGUUUGGUCAGUCCUCCGGGAAAUCUGACAGCUCAACUGUUAGGCUUUCGGAGGAUACUGCCAGACUUGGAACCGGGAGAGGUAAGAGGUACUACAGGGGUAGGAGUGAAAUCUUGUAAUCCCUGUGGGACCACCUGUGGCGAAGGCGUCUUACCAGAACGGGUUCGACGGUGAGGGACGAAAGCUGGGGGCACGAACCGGAUUAGAUACCCGGGUAGUCCCAGCCGUAAACGAUGCUCGCUAGGUGUCAGGCAUGGCGCGACCGUGUCUGGUGCCGCAGGGAAGCCGUGAAGCGAGCCACCUGGGAAGUACGGCCGCAAGGCUGAAACUUAA
rnacentral:rRNA from 1 species